AAGGCCCUCAGAAAAAAGGAAAGACAGAAAGACCUAGAUGAAAUGAGGAAGAUCUAUGAGCUUAAACAAGACAAGUUACCUGGCGGACCCGGGGGCCCUCCACUGAUAAAAGAGAUGCCUAGCCGAGAGGAGUUUUCUUUUCUCCAUAAAGCUAAUUUGGUUUCAAAAUUAGGUAUCUUGAAAAUUGAAGCCGAUAAGCAGCUUUUAUUUCACGGCAAAGGCGCUUUUCAUUCCAUUGAUGAAAUUAAACGUGUGUACGGACACAUCUUUCCCGAGCCGUCAAAUAUAAAAAGCGUUCAACAUGCAGCCGCCAAUUUCCGCGCCAGUAUGAAGAUUAC